rnacentral:tRNA from 1 species
UGCGGUGUAGUUUAAAUGGCAGAACAGGUGAACGGUUACUCACCAGGUUGCGGGUUCGAAUCCCGUCAUCGCAG